GCACAGCUGUGUUGUUCCCCGUUAUCACGCACGGCGCCGCACGCCCGCCCGCAGCGGCGCACACAUGAGCGGGCAGCUUGAGGAAACGUCAGCAGGUUUCGGCUCGCUGCGUGACAUUGCGGUGCCCGUUUUUCUUUCAGCUAACGACUCAAGGAUGGACGCGUGACGCACCGAGCCACAGUGAGGGAGCGUGCACACACGUCAGCUCGGGGAGGGCAAAGCCUGCUUAAAAUGCAGCGAAUGUGACAGCCGAGCCCACAGUCCAGACUACAGCAGCGCCUGGACCGGAAAGGUGAAGCGGGGCGGGGGCGGGGGGCACCAGCAGCAUGACCGUGGUGCCCGGGGAGAACCUGGAUGAGACGGUGGCACUGGCCGCGCUGUCCGCCCAGGAUGUGUACGACCCGGAGCGAGCCGACAACCAGGAGUGCUGCGAGCGGGUGGUCAUCAACAUCUCCGGGCUGCGCUUCGAGACGCAGCUGAAGACCCUGGCCCAGUUCCCCGCCACUCUGCUGGGGGACCCGCGCAAAAGGAUGCGGUUCUUCGACCCGCUAAGGAACGAGUACUUCUUUGACCGGAACCGACCCAGCUUCGAUGCCAUCCUGUACUACUACCAGUCUGGCGGACGGCUCCGGAGACCCGUCAACGUGCCGGUGGACAUCUUCAUGGAGGAGAUCAAGUUCUACGAGCUGGGGGAGGAGGUGAUCGAGAACUUUAAGGAGGAUGAAGGGUUCAUCAAGGAGGAGGAGCGGCCGCUGCCGGAGAACGAGUUCCAGCGGCAGGUCUGGCUCCUGUUCGAGUACCCCGAGAGCUCCGGACCCGCUCGGGGCAUCGCCAUCGUCUCCGUGCUGGUCAUCCUCAUCUCCAUCGUCAUCUUCUGCUUGGAGACCUUACCCGAGUUCAGGGAGGAGGCCCGGAUCUUCGACGGGUUAAUCCCGACAAACGGCACCGCGGGCGCCGAGCCGCCGAACCCGUUCACGGACCCGUUCUUCAUCGUGGAGACGCUCUGUAUCAUCUGGUUCUCCUUCGAGCUGCUGGUCCGGUUCCUCGCCUGCCCCAGCAAGCCCGCCUUCUUCAAGAACAUCAUGAACACCAUUGACAUCGUGGCCAUCAUGCCCUACUUCAUCACGCUGGGGCUGGAGCUGGCGGAGCACCAGGGCAACGGCCAGCAGGCCAUGUCGCUGGCCAUACUAAGGGUCAUCCGCCUGGUCCGGGUCUUCCGGAUCUUCAAGCUCUCACGGCACUCCAAGGGGCUGCAGAUCCUGGGGAAGACGCUGCAGGCCAGCAUGCGGGAGCUGGGUCUGCUCAUCUUCUUCCUCUUCAUCGGGGUCAUCCUCUUCUCCAGCGCCGUGUACUUCGCGGAGACCGACGACCCGGAGUCGGGCUUCAGCAGCAUCCCGGACGCCUUCUGGUGGGCCGUGGUUUCCAUGACGACAGUGGGGUACGGCGACAUGUGUCCAGUGACCAUCGGUGGGAAGAUCGUGGGCUCCCUGUGCGCCAUCGCUGGGGUCCUGACCAUCGCGCUUCCGGUUCCGGUCAUCGUCUCCAACUUCAACUACUUCUACCACCGGGAGACCGAGCACGAGGAGCAGUUCCAGUACACGCACGUGACCUGCGGGCAGCAGCAAGCGCCGUUCGGAGAGUUCAAGCGGAGCGACAGCCGGCCGUCGCUGUCCAAGUCCGACUACCCGGACAGCGAGGACGCGGACUCCGUCAAGUACACGAACUGCAGCCCGCAGAAGGCGUAUGGCGGGAAGCUGACGGACGUCUGAGGCUCCUUGUUUCCGCCAUCAGAGGGAAUGUUUUCAGUUGGAUCCCCUCUCCACUCCCGACACGGUCUUCCAUCCAGCAGGACAACUGAUCAGCCUCUGUAGCACUUUACUGUCAUUAGUGAGCAGCUUUAAGGUUUACAUUCUUCUGACACGGGACCAAAUUAAAACUCAGUUUAAAACUUAAAAAAAAAAAAAAAAGCCUGCGAGACAACACGCAGGGUUAGGAGAAAGAAAAAAACAAAUACAAGAAAACCCUCAUUGACUUAAACACAACGAAUCUGGCGAGAAGCUUUUUCCAAUACAACAGCGCCAUCGUGUGGUCAAAGCGGCUCACUGCGCCGCCGUGCCAGAUGCAGUUUCCAUGGCAACCUUCCAGACUUUUCUGUUGUUGUCUGGUGCAGGAGCAAAAAGUGAGGAGGCUCCAAACCACCAUGUUGUGGAAGCAUCCAUGUUGUUAAAAAAAACCACACAAAAACUCAGACGCUCAGCAGCUAAUUACUAACGACAAGUAAAAAAAAAUAAUUAAAUACAAUAAAAAUAUUAAGAUUAUAGCUUACCGCAGCAAUUUAAUACAUUAACAGUUAAUUUUUAGAUGUUUUAGAGCUCAACCUCGUCUAUCGUGGAUAUAAAUAUGUUAAAAAAAAGAUAAUUUAAAGAAAAAUAUGUAGAGUAAAAAAAUCAAAAGAAAAAUAUCUAAUAUUAACAGAAAAUACAAAAUUAUAUAAACACUUUAUAGUUGUACAGUAGCACAAAAAAGGUUAAAAUAGAAACAUAAAUUAAAAUUAGAUAUUUUUUAGGGGAUUUUAAGAUAAAAUGCAAAUCAAGAACUGUUUAAACUAUUAAAUUUGAUCUAUUUAAAUGAGUUCAAGUCUGAAAAGCUAUCAAGCUUUUCAACAAAUUAUUGCACUGAUAAAUAUUUUUGGUUCUAAAAUAAUUAUGAAUAAUAAUUCAAUCUUAAUGCACAAAAAAUCAAAAAUGUAUGAAGAAAUUGGGAAAGAAAACAUCAUAGGAUUUUUCUUUAAGUGAGUUUAGAAAUAAUUUAAAAAAUCCCAAAUCAAAUAGUUUUGAAAAACAAAUUUUAAGUAUUUAAAAUAAAAAGAUCAGUCCCUUGCUUUCAUAGAGAUCCCCAGCGGUUCUGAUCCGUACCUGAUCCGAACUGAAGGCCCUUCAGUGUUGGAGCUCCCUGGUCCAGCAGCACCUGGAGUCACCUGGACAGCGGGCGGAGCAGACGGAGCUGCUGGAGACAAAAACAGAGGAUUUUUAACAAGUUGACGGAGUAAAAACCUUCACUGGAGUUUAUCAGACUGAUGGAUGUUUGAAGGAAAAGUCCGACGGCUCUUCAGCUCAGACCAACAUCCAGUUCUGGUCCCACAAGGGAAAGAUUGACGAACCUCACUAACCCACUCCAGCUGCCACCAUCCUCCUCAUCCUCUCCUGCUUCCCUCCUCCGAUGAAGAAAAAAACAACAAAGCUUGGAUAAAAUACAAAAACAAAACUUCACGAGAAACUCGGCUUACUCUCGGAUUUUUACAGAGCACAGACUCUGAGGUACGACUCAAACGUUACUUGAACCAUCAGCUGUGUCCUGCGUAUACUUAGAUGUUGUUUGGGAGGUUUCUCCUGUUGCUGUAGAGAACAAGAACUUGUUGUUGCUGUCUGUAUGUCGCAUAUCAUAUCCAAACCAAAUCACUGCAUGCUUGGAAAGUAGAGCAUGUAAACAGAAGAAACGUGGAACAACACCGACAGCUCGCAGAUACGGAGACGUUAUCCCGUCAGGCAGAUGACUUUAGUUUUUUAAAGUAUCAUACUAUAUAUGUUUUAUACCGGGAGGUUGACAUGGUGAAUUAUUUUGUAGAUUUUUAAGUUUUUUUUGUUUUUUUUGCCUUGGUGAAAACAAUGCAGCUCCAGCAGGCAGCUCUGAUGAACAUGUCUGCACCAGUGGGAGGAAAAAUGGGGGUAAAAGUGUGAAAAUGCAUUAAAUCCAGACAUUCAUCUAUAUCUGAAUGUUCCUGUUUGGAUCUUUGAUCAGAAUGCUGUAUACCUGAUUUAUCACUACCUCAGUGUCAACUCACUGAAAAAAUAAGCUUUAGCACCUGAAGGACUGAUUAUUAUCACCAAUACCGCUCAAGUUAUCUGAAAUGUUCUCAAUUUAAUCUCUAAAAUAUACAAAGAACUAAACUAUAAAGAUGUUUUCAUCUUGAUAUCAGGUAGAAAUGAACAUUUAGAGAAACUAAAUGAGUCUCAGAUGUCCAGCCUGAGUGAGAAAAGCAGCUUUUUUGCACAUUGUUUAUUUGUUUUUGCAUUUUCUGUUAGCUUAAAAGGCAAUAAGGUCCUGCAGAGUGGCUCUGCCUGUCUUGAACAUUUAACAAGAAAUCAGUCCAGCACAAAUUUGAAUUUUAAAUAUAUUUGAAAUUUGGGAAGACAAAUAAACUGGGAAACUGUAACACUUUUUAAUAUUGCUCAAAUUUCUCUCAAAUUAUCUAAAAGAUGCACAUUUAUUUGGAGCAGGAUGAGCUGCAGGUGGAAACAAACUCCCAAGAUGGUCGUGUUUUUCUUUGUGGGUCAUUUUAGUUUCUUAACUUUUAUUUCACAAUAUUUGAGAUUUAAAAAUCUAAGAACAAAACGAUUGACAGAUUUAUGUGUCAGUCAUAAAUGUUAACUACUUUCGGUUUCCCUCUGGAACGAAGCUGAAAAUAAAUAAAAACUAGUUUGAGAAACUUUGGAUCUAAAACGCUGGGAGAAUUUUAAGCUUUUGUUAAUUAAAUUACUGUUUCUCAGCAGAAUACUGAAAAUCAGAUUACCAGUCGCUGCUAACCCCUCACAGUGAUGCCAACAUUUUGUUUUGGGUAAAAAUCCCAUCCAGAAACUGCUGACACUCAAGAAUCACAGUUACUAAAUUUUGACGUUGCUGAUAUAUAUCAGUGUAUCAUCAGCAUAAAAGAUGUUUUGGUUUUACAAAAUAAACAUUAAGGGUUCCUAUUUUAAAGAGCUUGGGAUAUUGCAACACAUGAGGAGUUGCUAUGGUAACCUUAACACAGAAUGUCGUCCAUACUUUGACAUCACAGAUAGGAUACACCAUGGGGGGUCCUUGCAGAUUGUUGGAAAUUUAGUAGGAUUUAUUAAGAAACAUUUUCAGAGUUUAAAUUUAUUCUCAUAUUGGUAACCUAUUUCUGAAGUUGAAAUAGGGCGGGCCAUGAUGGCCUCACGCCUCGGCCGUGACCCAAUCAUGGCCGUAGCUCAGCAUGGCAUGUUCUGGCAUGUAGCUGCAUUUUGACACAGUUUAGGACAGUUGCGUUAGCUUGUGGUGCCAACAUGAGCAUAUGUGGUAAAAUCAAUGUGGAACAAUGCAGCUGAUGGUUAGCCGAAGAUCUUGGUAGAACAUGAGUGGUUCUGAUCAUCGUCUUGGUGAGGUCACACUUUGGGGAUGCAGUGUGAAGCAUUACCUUCGUUGGGGUGUUUUAAGCAUCUACAAACUUUCUCUGCAAGGCUGUGAUGGCUUAUUGUUGUGAUGUCAGUGUAUCUUUGAAGUUCAAGCAUGGCUUGGCUAUUGUCACAUGAAACAGAACUGGCCACGAUGGCUUCAUGCUAGGCUACAACCAAAAUUACGGCGAUGUAACGGUGGUGGAGAAGUUUGAAUGGGAAUUUGAGAAAGUUGUGCAAAGUUACAGCCCAGAAUGUGUAGCAAUCAUCAAGGUUUCCCCCAGAAAACCUGGUAAGCCCGGUUGUUGUGGUCAUAGUCAUAGUCAGGUUAGGAUAGGUUAUGGCUGACAGGAUAAUGAAGACCAUAUUAAUAUCUUCUUCCAGAGCAAAUUAGCCCUAAAGGAAGUGAACCAGCAUCUUCAUUGACCAAACACGUUUAGACACUGAUUAAUGUCAAAGUUUGGUUGAAAAGUUAUUGGGAUUUUCCAGACUUUCUAAAUUUGAGUUGAAGAAACAAUAAUUAUACAACCAUAAAAGUUGCCCAAAGACAGCAGCUUCCCUCCAGAGAAUCAAACAUCGUACAGAAAAAUUUUAAACUUUAUCGUAUCUUUUUCUGUCAAAAAUAAGAGCAAUUGUCACGCAAAGUUUCAAAACCGUGCAGAAAUGUUAUCACAAAGUUUUAAUGGUAAAUGUUGAUUUAUAUUAGCAUCUUGUCUUUAGUUCUGGAUGUAGGAAGAGCGCCACCUGCAGCUCAUCAGCUCAACUUUUCAAACUGCUAAAACCAAACAAUUCAGGAGUUUCUUAUAUAUACAGUUGUGGAAAAAAAUUAAGAAAUCACUUAAAAUGAUUUUUAGGUCUGAUGUUACUCUUUAUAGGUAUAUAUUUGAGUAAAAUUAACAUUGCUCUUUUAUUCUGUGAACUACUGACAACAUGUCUCCAAAACUCAAAGCAAAAGUUUUACUUGCAAAAAAUGAGAAAUAGUAAAAAUAAUGAAAAUGAUGCAGUGCUUUCAGACCACAAAUACUGCAAAGAAAACCAGUUCAUAUUCAUUUAGAGACAAUACUGAUGUUUUUACUCAGGAAGAGUUCAGAAAUCAGUAUUUGGUUGAAUAACCAGCAGGUUUUCAAAGGGGUUCAGUGCAGCGUCUUAAUUUUUCCAGAGCUGGAUAUUUGCUGAACGUUUUGGAUUCAUUUGGACUGAAAGGCAGGUGCUGUGGGUUGAGACAGCAGAAAGAAUCCAAGCUCUCGCUCUCUUGUUGAAGGUUUGCUGUGUAAACAGCCCUGCGUCUCUGCAGCCCACAUAAACACAGAAGUUCAUCCACUCUGCAGCGUUCGUCCGGCAGUCACUGCUUUUCUGAUGCAUAAAAACAGCCGAGGGAGAUUUCAUUUGGACUGAAGCUUUGAUGAGCUCUGACUGAUGAUUAACGUGUUCUGCAUACUGUAAGUGCAAUAAAAAUGUGACGUUCCCCCUGCGCGUGCGGCGGCGUACUGAUUAUGGCAGACAGCCGUGGCUGUGGUCAGACUGUUCAUCCUGUAAAACAGCUGCUGUUUGGUUUUUCAGCUGAAAACUUCAGGUUCAUCACCGAGUCAUUCUCAUCCUCCAACAGGAAGAAGCAAUAGAUUCCUGCAAUGUGGGAACUUUGAAGCGGAGGGAUGCGUUUGUAACGCUUCCUUCGUAGUAACACGUUUGCAAAGAAACGUUACUAUGAUUUCUUCAGUUUUUUUUUAUUCCAUUUGUUGAUGUUUAUUUUUGUGAUCUAUGUUUGAUAAAAAUAAAUCCUUAAUUCUGAUAAAUCUCCAUGUGUUUCACAGGACAACACAUGAAUUUUUUGUUUUUUGUGUGCAUUUUCAUUUGGCGUUGAUGUGUUAAUUUAAAAUGGUUUGAAUCUCAGAUUCAUUCGUUCUGCGGUUAGAAGAGUUUCACAUUUGGCUGGAAACAAGGCAGAGUAACAGAAAGUAAUUUAUUCCCUUCAAAGGGGAAACUUCUUUUCACCAACUAUUAAAAACUUUGAAAUUAUGAAAGAAAAUUUAACUGAACCAACACAAGAGAUUGAGUUAUAUAAUGCAAUAAAUCAGCUUUUUCUUUAAUUACAUAGACUUUUUAUAGGGACUAAAUGGAGAAAAUGGUCACAUUUUGCCUUUAAGUGAUUUAGUUUUUAAAUUACCUGCUCAAAACUACUUACAAGUAGUUUUGCAAAUAGGAAAAGAUCAAUAAAAACCAACCAGGUUCUAUGUGGAAAAGAAUCUGCCCUCUAAACCAAUUACCAUAAACUACCACCAAGAAUUUGUGACUUUUACAUUUAAGAAGAGGAAUCCUGGUUUUAAUUCGGCCGCAAUGCAACAGGCAGGAGUUUAUUUAAUACCCAAAAAGUUUUUAAACUUUUUAGGUCCACCAAACUUUUCAACCACAUUGAAUUUGACAUCUGUUUCCCAGGUUAACUUUUUAAAAAAAAUCAUUGUCCAGUAAGGCAAUGUUGAUUAGUAAAUCAUUUAAUUAACAAUCUAGUAAACAUAAAAAUCUUAUUCUGAAGCAGAAUUGAAAUUGGAAAUGUUUUUAAAGUGCUUCAAUGAGCUGAAAUUGAAACUUAAAAACAUUACAAAAUAGGAUAAAUGGAUGAAAUAGAUAAAAAUUUAAUUAGAAGAAGAAAUAUUUUAUGGGUUAAGUAUCUCAAAUUUAACAUUUCAUUUAAGAAUAAAUAUUUAAUUUCAGCACUGGUAAUGAUUU